GGAUAUAGCUCAGUUGGUAGAGUGCUUGCCUCACAUAUAUAAAGCCCUGGCCCUGGGUUUAAUCCCCAGCACCA
rnacentral:tRNA from 1 species